GCCUGUAUAGUUAAAUGGCAUAACACGACUCUUGUAAAGUUGAAUUUUUGGUUCGAUUCCAGAUACGGGCA
rnacentral:tRNA from 2 species